rnacentral:rRNA from 1 species
AUGACGGCAAAGCAGUCAAUGCCCUUCCCGGUGGCAUACAACAACUCCGUCUUGUUCCAUGGCAAGUUCUAUUGCCUUGGAAGAAAGGGCAACCUCGCCACGUUUGACCCGAUGAGCGACACAUGGACAAUCUUGGAGAAGCCUAAGCCGAUCCACGUGGAGAUGGACCUUGACGGCGACCACCAUGUGGGGAGAGAGUUUUGCUACCUGGUUGAACUGGGAGGGGAACUAGUCUCUGUAUUCAUCCGUAACGCUGACGAGCCACCGCGGGUGUUCAAGCUCAAGGAGGAGAUGGCAUGGAUGGAGGUGCAAGAGAUCGGUGGUGCAGCCUUGUUUCUUGAUUUCAGGGUGUCAUACUCGAUGGUGUCGCCGGAAGCAGGGCAUGGGAAUAGGAUAUACUUUCCAAGUUUUUCCGAGGAUGGCAAACAAGCGGUGUUCUAUGAUAUGGAGAACAAGGCGUACCAACCAUCCAUCUAUGGUCUCAAGCAACCAUUGCAGUGUGUGUGGGUGGUGCCUAAUAUACAGCCCAAAUCUAAAUAA